rnacentral:rRNA from 1 species
CACGUAGGGGGCAAGCGUUGUCCGGAUUUAUUGGGCGUAAAGAGCUCGUAGGCGGCUCGUCGCGUCGACCGUGAAAACCCGCGGCUUAACUGCGGGCUUGCGGUUGAUACGGGCGGGCAGAGUUCGGUAGGGGAGACUGGAAUUCCUGGUGUAGCGGUGAAAUGCGCAGAUAUCAGGAGGAACACCGGUGGCGAAGGCGGGUCUCUGGGC